CACCGCGUCACCGAUAUCUAGAUUGAUCGGUGGAGGAAAGGCAAGAGUUGUAAGGCAGUAGGCCAAUGACUGAGCAUUUGCUACCUCAAUCCAGGAAGGAAAAAAAAGAAGGACACACGUGCAAUCGGGAUUUAUGGCCCCCUCGGCCCUUUGUAGUUCAGCACAAGCCAAUUUGGCUAAAGACCAGGUGGGCCGGUAGCCAGAAAUGUUGCAGCAUGAAUCAAAGGUAUACUGCAGAAGGCAUUGCAAAAUGGGAGUAAGGCAUGGUGAAAUUGGAAAAUGAACAGAUUGGACAUCAAAGAACAACCUAAGCAAGAAGACCAACAUAAAACAAGCAAGCCAAAAGACUUACUGCCAUAAGCAAGUGCUCCCAAGACCUCCCCAAGGCCGCAUCCUGGCUGGUUGUCUCCUCCAUUGGGAUAGACGUCGAUGUGCCCCACAGGCAUCUGGAUGCCAAUGCUAAUGCCCAGCGCUUCCCGCGUGUAAGUGUGCAAGACGUCCACAAAAUCUGCAUCGUCGGGAGAGAGGCGCCGGUUGGGUUCGGCGCCUUCAAACAUUGGGCCAGCCGGGUCCAAGCCUGCAGCAUUCAAGGCGCCUUGUUAAAACUUCAGCCAAGGGAGACACAGAUGUUUCACAGGAAGCUGCUUCAUAUAACAUUAAGCCACCAAACCCACCAUUGAGUGCAUCCACAUUACACCGGUAGAAUAGUUUGAUGCAACUUUAGCUCUCAAGGCACCAUCCUACAGAACUUUGGGACCAAACAUUUGGUAAUAGCUGUCCCUCUACAGGUUUGACUUUACCAAGUUUGAAUAUUAAUGGAUUUGAUGACAAUGUUCCCUCCAGGUCAUCCAAUAUGACUUUAUGGUCAACUUCUAGAGUUGUGUUCUAGGUGUUACCACAGUAUUGUAUUGGAGGACCUAGAGAUUCCUAGGGAGGUGUUACCUCUAGUUUAAAAAAUUGGGUUUUUUGCAUUCUUGUUUUUCCCGGUUUUGUAGGGGCCCUGCACCCCUAUCUCCAGCAAAUAUGGAGGGCUGACUGUACAGCACCAGAACAUAUUCAAUCCCAAAGCAACUUACAAAUCCCAGUAUUUCCUAGGAAGCAGCCAUGACAGUUAAAGUGGUAUCAAACAGUUAAAGCUUUGAAGUAUAGAAAUACAAUAGGGUGUUUGGAAAAGAAUUCCCUAUUUUUAAGUAUAAAUACAUUAAAACUAGGGAGUUCUUUUUCAAACACCCUGUAUAUUCUUAUAGAAGCUCUCUUUGCCAUCACCUGCAAUAUUCCACAGAAAUCCUUCUGCACAAACGGCAAGGCCUUUGUCACUGGGUCAGUGUCCCUUUCUUUGUUUCAGCUGCUUAAUAUACUGUAAUAUCCCGUUCUCCCCCAAUUCAAAAUCUGAAAUUGUUUGCAUUAGGUCUAAAAAAAAGUCUUCGAGAUCAUGGAGCAAAGAUAGGGAUAGUUGGGAUUUUCUGCAUGACUGCAGCUGGGAAUAAGAAAGAGUAGCCUGGGAGCCAAUAAGGAGGUUUUCCAUAUAGUUAUUCAAUUUGAGGGGGAUUUAGAAUCACUGUAAAUAGAAAUUCCCUAUCUAUUCACAUUCUGUGCUUGGGGGAAGGUGGGGGAUUUUUGUUGACAGAACAUAGGGAGAAAUGAAAGGGAGUAACCACACAUUUUCUGGGGCUGUCUACAUAUUCUUUGGGUCUCCAACCUGGGAUUAUCCCUGAGGAAAUGUGCCUCAAGAUGUUAGGAAUGUCUCUUGAUCCCUGCCCAAGAUUUCCACCCCAGAAUGACACCUUCCAGUUUGUUGACUCUCAAAAUUAAAUCACCGUCUAAUUCAAGACCUGAUCCAGAUCUGG